UCAAUCAUUAAAGAUAUAUCGUGAUCUGAAAAAUAAGCUUGAGAAGCUUCCUCUAAUCCUUCAUACCAUAAUUCAUGCCAAAGUAUAGCAACUCUAAUUAGCUCUUGACUAACAAGUAGAGCUUGACGAACCAACGUAUCACUAUGCGAAAGCAUGCUAUCCAUAAUUGAUUUUGCUGAAUGCUUCUGCUGCGGAUUUGUAGAUUUGGAGGACACAGUAAGUGAAUACACCAAUGCCUGAGGAUGCACCCUACCAAUAUCGGAAAGUAACUGAUGAACAGAUGCUCUAACUGAAGAACUUGAAGUGUGUAUUCGUGCAAUUAGUUGUGGUAUAACUUCUAACCAUGUAUCCAUUGGAACAUUGGAAAAUCCUUCAACAAUUGCGGCUGCUACGUCGCUGUGCUCACCGAAU